rnacentral:lncRNA from 1 species
CUACAGUGAAUCCAAUUAAUUAAAAAAUCUUAUUUUUGAUAAAAUUUAGACUGAAAUUUUAACUCUAAUUAGGAAUAAGUUUUUUGAUGGGACAAAACAAGUACAUAUAUAAAUAGAGAUGAUUUGAUCUAUUUUCUCCAACUCUCAGGAGGGUGUGACGAUUUUCAUUGAUCGUCCAUAUUAAAGAGGAAGAUGAGGAGAGAAAAGAUUAGCC